rnacentral:rRNA from 1 species
GACGAACGCUGGCGGCGUGCCUAAUACAUGCAAGUAGAACGCUGAAGGAGGAGCUUGCUUCUCUGGAUGAGUUGCGAACGGGUGAGUAACGCGUAGGGAACCUGCCUGGUAGCGGGGGAUAACUAUUGGAAACGAUAGCUAAUACCGCAUAAUAGCAGUUGUUGCAUGACAACUGUUUGAAAGGUGCAAUUGCACCACUACCAGAUGGGCCUGCGUUGUAUUAGCUAGUUGGUGGGGUAACGGCUCACCAAGGCGACGAUACAUAGCCGACCUGAGAGGGGGAUCGGCCACACUGGGACUGAGACACGGCCCAGACUCCUACGGGAGGCAGCAGUAGGGAAUCUUCGGCAAUGGACGGAAGUCUGACCGAGCAACGCCGCGUGAGUGAAGAAGGUUUUCGGAUCGUAAAGCUCUGUUGUAAGAGAAGAACGAGUGUGAGAGUGGAAAGUUCACACUGUGACGGUAGCUUACCAGAAAGGGACGGCUAACUACGUG